GGAUGAUUUUCAAUUUCAGGUAAGAAAAAGUACCUGUUUUUUAAGUUGUUAACAGAACUCAUAAUUAACUAUAUUGUUUUGUGUGUGUGUGUGUUUUGUAUUGAAACAAACUGCAACAUCUGAAUGAAGGUGGAAAGCAGCCUGAAUCUUUCUAAGGAUGAUUUUCAAUUUUAGGUAAGAAAAAGUACCUGUUUUUUAAGUUGUUAACAGAACUCAUAAUUAACUACAUUGUUUUGUGUGUGUGUGUGUGUGUUUUGUAUUGAAACAAACUGCAACAUCUGAAUGAAGGGGCAAGGCAGCCUGGAUCUUUCUAAGGAUGAUUUUCAAUUUUAGGUAAAUAAAAGUACUUUUUUUUAGUUUGUUUUUAAAAUUCAUAAUUAACCUUUUUUUUUUUUUUUUUUGGUAUUGAAACAACAAAUUGCAAUUGCAAAAAAUUUGAAUGGACCAUGGAAAGUGACCUGAAUUUUUCUUCAGCAAACUGCAAAAUUUGAAUGAAAAUGGAAAGCAUCUUGAAGGAUGCUUCAAUCUUUCUUCAGUUUCAAUUUCAAUUCUGCAGGAUUUCCAGAAGACGUGCAUGUCAGGUUUCCCUACCAGAUGGACAACAUAUAUGCACAAUUGCCAUUAGAAAUUGUGUACAACAUUAAGCAUUAAUUAAGCAUUAAGUAUUUGGGCAUAUUGCAGUAAUAUGAUUACAUUUACCCUAUAAAGCCUGUAUCAGUUUUGAAAUGUGAAUUUAUAAGACCUCUAAAUGAUCAGCAUGAUCAGAACUUUGCUGAAAAACCUGUUGCACACGAUCUACUACAUGCCUUGUGUUGUCCACUUGAUUAUGUCUUCUGAUUAAGUUCAUAUUUUUUUAGCAAGUGAAAGACCUUUUUGUAUCAUUCUAAAAUGUCCACCUUAAUUUUUAUGAAGUAAAUGUUAUAACAUUCUAACAUUUACUAGACUGAAGCAACUUAGGUUUACUUGAUUAUACAUAAUUAUUAUUAUUAUUAUUAUUUUUUUUUUAGAAAAAUCAUGUUAAUAUGUGAGUUUCAAAUGAUAAAUUAUCAUAUUGCUUUGUAUUAUGUUUUGGUCCUCACAAUAAAGACUUCAGAGUUUUGAUCAAAGUUAAGCAUUAUAUAACAUCUUGCAAACGUAUUAUUGUGAAAUGCAGAGAGAUAACUGAUAUUUAUAUGCAUUUUAUGUUAGUAGUCUGCUGUGUUAAAAAGACUUGUAUUGUAUUACAAACUAUCAGAAAUUCUUCUUACUCUUUUGACCAUAUAAAUAUCAGCAA